rnacentral:rRNA from 1 species
AUUGAACGCUGGCGGCAUGCUUUACACAUGCAAGUCGAACGGUAACAGGCCGCAAGGUGCUGACGAGUGGCGAACGGGUGAGUAAUGCAUCGGAACGUGCCCAGUCGUGGGGGAUAACGCAGCGAAAGCUGUGCUAAUACCGCAUACGAGCUAUGGAGGAAAGCGGGGGACCGUAAGGCCUCGCGCGAUUGGAGCGGGCGAUGUCAGAUUAGCUAGUUGGUGGGGUAAAGGCCCACCAAGGCGACGAUCUGUAGCUGGUCUGAGAGGACGACCAGCCACACUGGGACUGAGACACGGCCCAGACUCCUACGGGAGGCAGCAGUGGGGAAUUUUGGACAAUGGGCGCAAGCCUGAUCCAGCAAUGCCGCGUGCAGGAAGAAGGCCUUCGGGUUGUAAACUGCUUUCGUACGGAACGAAACGGCCUGGGUUAAUACCCUGGGCUAAUGACGGUACCGUAAGAAUAAGCACCGGCUAACUACGUGCCAGCCGCCGCCGUAA